GAUGAAGAACGUAGCGAAAUGCGAUACGUAAUGUGAAUUGCAGAAUUCAGUGAAUCAUCGAAUCUUUGAACGCACAUUGCGCCCGCUGGAACUCCGGCGGGCACGCCUGUCCGAGCGUCAUUUCAACCCUCAGGCCCCCCUUCGCGGGCGGGCCUGGUGUUGGGGCCCGGCCGCUACCCUGCGGCCGUCCCCUAAAUUCAGUGGCGGCCUCGCCGUGAUCCCUUGCGUAGUAAUGCACCUCGCACCGGAGAGCGCUGUGGCCACGCCGUAAAACCCCCAAUUUUCAAUGGUUGACCUCGGAUCAGGUGGGAAUACCCGCUGAACUUAAGCAUAUCAAUAAGCGGAGGA
rnacentral:misc_RNA from 1 species